AGAGUUUGAUCCUGGCUCAGGAUGAACGCUAGCGGCAGGCUUAAUACAUGCAAGUCGAGGGGCAGCGGGAGUAGCAAUACUUGCCGGCGACCGGCGCACGGGUGCGUAACGCGUAUGCAAUCUACCAUUAACAGAGGGAUAGCCCCGAGAAAUCGGGAUUAAUACCUCAUAAUACUAUUUUGUGGCAUCAUAAGAUAGUCAAAGCUGAGGCGGUUAAAGAUGAGCAUGCGUGACAUUAGCUAGUUGGUGAGGUAACUGCUCACCAAGGCGACGAUGUCUAGGGGUUCUGAGAGGAUGAUCCCCCACACUGGUACUGAGACACGGACCAGACUCCUACGGGAGGCAGCAGUAGGGAAUAUUGGUCAAUGGGCGCGAGCCUGAACCAGCCAUGCCGCGUGCAGGAAGACGGCCUUAUGGGUUGUAAACUGCUUUUAUCAGGGAAUAAACCUAUCUACGAGUAGAUAGCUGAAGGUACCUGAAGAAUAAGCAUCGGCUAACUCCGUGCCAGCAGCCGCGGUAAUACGGAGGAUGCAAGCGUUAUCCGGAUUCAUUGGGUUUAAAGGGUGCGCAGGCGGAUUAAUAAGUCAGUGGUGAAAUUCAACAGCUUAACUGUUGACCUGCCAUUGAUACUGUUAGUCUAGAGUAUAGUUGGAGUGGGCGGAAUGUGUCAUGUAGCGGUGAAAUGCUUAGAUAUGACACAGAACACCGAUCGCGAAGGCAGCUCACUAAACUAAAACUGACGCUCAUGCACGAAAGCGUGGGGAUCAAACAGGAUUAGAUACCCUGGUAGUCCACGCUGUAAACGAUGAUUGCUCGAUGUUGGCGAUACACAGUCAGCGUCUGAACGAAAGUAUUAAGUAAUCCACCUGGGAAGUACGUUCGCAAGGAUGAAACUCAAAGGAAUUGACGGGGGCCCGCACAAGCGGAGGAGCAUGUGGUUUAAUUCGAUGAUACGCGAGGAACCUUACCUAGACUUAAAUGUAGAUUGACCGUAGGGGAAACCUUAUUUUCAGCAAUGACAAUUUACAAGGUGCUGCAUGGUUGUCGUCAGCUCGUGCCGUGGGGUGUCAGGUUAAGUCCUAUAACGAGCGCAACCCCUAUUCUUAGUUGCCAGCAUGUAAUGAUGGGGACUCUAAGGAAACUGCCUACGCAAGUAGAGAGGAAGGUGGGGAUGACGUCAAAUCAGCACGGCCCUUACGUCUAGGGCUACACACGUGCUACAAUGGUAGGUACAGAGGGCAGCUGCACGGUGACGUGAUGCCAAUCUCCAAAGCCUAUCUCAGUUCGGAUCGAAGUCUGCAACCCGACUUCGUGAAGUUGGAUUCGCUAGUAAUCGCAUAUCAGCCAUGAUGCGGUGAAUACGUUCCC
rnacentral:rRNA from 1 species